GGGGUCGUAGCUCAGAUGGUAGAGCACCACAAUGGCAUUGUGGGGGUCAGGGGUUCGAAUCCCCUCGGCUCCACCA
rnacentral:tRNA from 2 species